rnacentral:rRNA from 1 species
GAACUGAGACACGGUCCAGACUCCUACGGGAGGCAGCAGUGGGGAAUAUUGCACAAUGGGCGCAAGCCUGAUGCAGCCAUGCCGCGUGUGUGAAGAAGGCCUUCGGGUUGUAAAGCACUUUCAGCGGGGAGGAAGGCGAUAAGGUUAAUAACCUUGUCGAUUGACGUUACCCGCAGAAGAAGCACCGGCUAACUCCGUGCCAGCAGCCGCGGUAAUACGGAGGGUGCAAGCGUUAAUCGGAAUUACUGGGCGUAAAGCGCACGCAGGCGGUCUGUCAAGUCGGAUGUGAAAUCC